GACGAACGCUGGCGGCGUGCCUAAUACAUGCAAGUAGAACGCACAGUUUAUACCGUAGCUUGCUACACCAUAGACUGUGAGUUGCGAACGGGUGAGUAACGCGUAGGUAACCUGCCUGGUAGCGGGGGAUAACUAUUGGAAACGAUAGCUAAUACCGCAUAAUAUUAAUUAUUGCAUGAUAAUUAAUUGAAAGGUGCAAUUGCACCACUACCAGAUGGACCUGCGUUGUAUUAGCUAGUAGGUGAGGUAACGGCUCACCUAGGCGACGAUACAUAGCCGAACUGAGAGGGUGAUCGGCCACACUGGGACUGAGACACGGCCCAGACUCCUACGGGAGGCAGCAGUAGGGAAUCUUCGGCAAUGGACGAAAGUCUGACCGAGCAACGCCGCGUGAGUGAAGAAGGUUUUCGGAUCGUAAAGCUCGGUUGUAAGAGAAGAACGGGUGUGAGAGUGGAAAGUUCACACUGUGACGGUAUCUUACCAGAAAGGGACGGCUAACUACGUG
rnacentral:rRNA from 1 species